UACGUAGGGUGCGAGCGUUAAUCGGAAUUACUGGGCGUAAAGCGUGCGUAGGCGGUUCCUCAAGUCCGUUGUGAAAGCCCCCGGCUCAACUGGGGAACUGCGCGGGAAACUAUCGGGCUUGAGUUCGGGAGAGGGAAGCGGAAUUCCGGGUGUAGCGGUGAAAUGCGUAGAUAUCCGGAGGAACACCGGUGGCGAAGGCGGCUUCCUGGACCGACACUGACGCUGAGGCGCGAAAGCUAGGGGAGCAAACAGG
rnacentral:rRNA from 1 species